GACGAACGCUGGCGGCGUGCCUAACACAUGCAAGUCGAGCGGGGUUGAAGCGAGGGGUAACUCGAGUUUCUACCUAGCGGCGGACGGGUGAGUAACGCGUGGGCAACCUGCCUCAAGGACUGGGAUAACAGCUCGAAAGGGCUGCUAAUACCGGAUAAAGCCUAUGGCCUCGCAUGGGGCCAUGAGCAAAGGGGAAACCCGCCUUGAGAUGGGCCCGCGUCCCAUCAGCUAGUUGGUGAGGUGAAGGCUCACCAAGGCGACGACGGGUAGCCGGCCUGAGAGGGUGACCGGCCACACUGGGACUGAGACACGGCCCAGACCUCCUACGGGGGCAGCAGUGGGGAAUCUUGCACAAUGGGCGAAAGCCUGAUGCAGCCGACGCCGCGUGAGCGAAGAAGGCCUUGGUUGUAAAGCUCUGUCUGGAGGGACGAAGGAAGUGACGGUACCUCCGGAGGAAGCCACGGCUAACUACGUGCCAGCAGCCGCGGUAAACGUAGCGUG
rnacentral:rRNA from 1 species